AUUGAACGCUGGCGGCAGGCCUAACACAUGCAAGUCGAGCGGCAGCGGGAGAAAGCUUGCUUUCCUGCCGGCGAGCGGCGGACGGGUGAGUAAGGUAUGGGGAUCUGGCCGAAGGCGGGGGAUAACCACUGGAAACGGUGGCUAAUACCGCAUAAUCUCUAAGGAGCAAAGUGGGGGACCUUCUGGCCUCACACCUUCGGAUGAACCCAUAUGAGAUUAGCUAGUAGGUGGGGUAAAGGCUCACCUAGGCGACGAUCUCUAGCUGGUCUGAGAGGAUGAUCAGCCACACUGGGACUGAGACACGGCCCAGACUCCUACGGGAGGCAGCAGUGGGGAAUAUUGCACAAUGGGCGCAAGCCUGAUGCAGCAUGCCGCGUGUAUGAAGAAGGCCUUCGGGUUGUAAAGUACUUUCAGUCGUGAGGAAGGUGUUAAGGUUAAUAGUCUUAGCAAUUGACGUUAGCGACAGAAGAAGCACCGGCUAACUCCGUGCCAGCCGCCGCAGUAA
rnacentral:rRNA from 1 species